rnacentral:tRNA from 1 species
GGAAGAGAAACGCCCCCGGUGGGGCGCGCGGCCUUCAAAGCCGUUGGGGUGCGUCAAGCGUGCCCGGUGGGUUCGACUCCUACCUCUUCCGCCA